GAUUGACAAAAUCUGUUAAGGGGUUUGGUGGGCUAAAAUUAUUUUGGGGGAAAAUUGGUAUUUUAAAAGGUACAUAGUGAAAGCAAAAUAAAAGAAUUCACCUAAAUUCCAAUCCAAAUGCCAAGAAAUCCAAUCCUGAAUCCAGCACCUCUCCUCAAAUUUCAAUAUCAUUUGAAUCCCAAAUGUAAGUCUAACGAUUUUGACCAGGUGGAACUAAUCUUUCUCACCUAUUCUCUUCUGUGGGUUAGCAGCCAAGUGAAAGCCCAUGUGGCAGGCAUCCUCCCACACAGCCCCCAAUGAUCUCUUUCUCCUAGUAUUCCCACCCUUGCAUGCCCCAUAGUGCUAUGGUUAGUCUGUGUGACCACUGCACGUGGCAAAGGUGAUGGCAUGCCACUUCAGAGACUAGGUCAUAAAAGACUGUGGCUUCUGUCUUGGGGAUCGGCUUUCUGUCUCUAAGACUGCUUACUCUGGCGGAAGCAUGCCUAUGGAGAGGCCCGGGGGGCAAGGCACCCAGCAGUGAGUGAGGAAGACCCAGUGAAGAACAGUAUUGCCUGAAAUAAAUCAUGUGAGUGAACUUGAAAGCAAAUUCCACACCUCGGUUGAGUCUUCAGAUGACUGCAGCCCAGACUGACAGCUUCACUGCAACCUCGUGAGAGACCCCGAGCCACACCAAGUUCCUAACCCUUGAACACUGGGAGAUAAUAACUGUUUGUUAUUUUAAGCCACUAAAUUUUGAGGAGUCUUUACCCUCUGCCCUCAAAUCGCACUGGCCUUCUUUGAGUUUAUUAGACAUGACCUACUGGCUCCCAUGAUGAAUUUUGGCCUAUGCUGUUCUCUCUGCUGCAGACACUGUUCUCAAGUUUCUCCCUCUGGCUUCCUCUUCGUAUCUUAGCCAGAUUACUUCCUUUCCUGAUUUGCCAACUAGAUCAACAGUUCACUUGUUCUGGAAUCACCAAGCUAAAUAAAAUACAGCCUGUGACAUGGAAGAGCUCACCAUUUGCUAAAAAAGACUGA
rnacentral:lncRNA from 1 species